GUGCCAGCAGCCGCGGUAAUACGGAGGGUGCAAGCGUUGUCCGGAAUCACUGGGUGUAAAGGGUGUGCAGGCGGGGCAACAAGUCGGAGGUGAAAGCCCAUGGCUCAACCAUGGAAGUGCUUUCGAAACUGUUGCUCUUGAGUCCCGGAGAGGUUGUCGGAAUUCGUGGUGUAGCGGUGAAAUGCGUAGAUAUCACGAGGAACACCAGAGGCGGAAGCGGGCAACUGGACGGGUACUGACGCUCAGGCACGAAAGCGCGGGGAGCAAACAGGAUUAGAAACCCUGGUAGUCC
rnacentral:rRNA from 1 species